GAAGCAAGUAUGAAAGACGGUUGCGAGUCCAUUGGACUCGAGGAAAGUCCGAGCUCCAUAGGGCAGGAUGCCAGAUAACGUCUGGCGAGGGUGACCUUAGGGAAAGUGCCAUAGAAAAGGAAACCGCCACGUCAGUGGUAAGGGUGGAAAGGUGAGGUAAGAGCUCACCAGCAGUCUGGUAACAGGCUGGCUCGGUAAACCCCAUCCGGAGCAAGACCGAAUAGGGAAGGGUGGCGACUGUACGCCUAGAAAGAUAAUCGUCACCGCGCAAGCGGAACAGAACUCGGCUUAAUGAUUGCUUGCUUCUUAU
rnacentral:RNase_P_RNA from 1 species